rnacentral:rRNA from 1 species
UACGUAGGGACCAAGCGUUGUUCGGAUUUACUGGGCGUAAAGGGCGCGUAGGCGGCAUGACAAGUCACUUGUGAAAUCUCUGGGCUUAACCCAGAACGGCCAAGUGAUACUGUCACGCUAGAGUGCAGAAAGGGCAAUCGGAAUUCUUGGUGUAGCGGUGAAAUGCGUAGAUAUCAAGAGGAACACCUGAGGCGAAGGCGGGUUGCUAGGCUGACACUGACGCUGAGGCGCGAAAGCCAGGGGAGCAAACGGG